rnacentral:rRNA from 1 species
UACAGAGGGGGCAAGCGUUGUUCGGAAUUACUGGGCGUAAAGGGCGCGUAGGCGGCCUUCUAAGUCGAACGUGAAAUCCCCGGGCUCAACCCGGGAACUGCGUCCGAUACUGGAAGGCUUGAAUCCGGGAGAGGGAUGCGGAAUUCCAGGUGUAGCGGUGAAAUGCGUAGAUAUCUGGAGGAACACCGGUGGCGAAGGCGGCGAUCCUGGACCGACACUGACACUGAGGAGCGAAAGCCAGGGAGCAAACGGGA